UACAGAGGGGGCAAGCGUUAUUCGGAAUUAUUGGGCGUAAAGGGCGCGUAGGCGGCUUGGCAAGUGGAAGGUGAAAUCCCUAGGCUUAACCGAGGAACUGCCUUCCAGACUGCUUUGCUUGAGGCCGGGAGAGGCGAGUGGAAUUCCCAGUGUAGCGGUGAAAUGCGUAGAUAUUGGGAGGAACACCAGUGGCGAAGGCGGCUCGCUGGACCGGUUCUGACGCUGAUGCGCGAAAGCCAGGGGAGCGAACGGG
rnacentral:rRNA from 1 species